rnacentral:tRNA from 1 species
UGGCUGAGUGGUAAAGUGCUUGACUUCCGAAUCAGGGGUUCCCGGGUUCUAAUCCUGG